rnacentral:rRNA from 1 species
CGCGUAGGCGGUCUCGUAAGUCAGGUGUGAAAGCCCGGGGCUCAACCCCGGAAGUGCAUUUGAAACUACAAGACUUGAGUAUGGGAGAGGGAAGUGGAAUUCCUGGUGUAGAGGUGAAAUUCGUAGAUAUCAGGAGGAACACCGGUGGCGAAGGCGACUUCCUGGACCAAUACUGACGCUGAGGCGCGAAGGCGUGGGGAGCAAACA